ensembl:lincRNA Gm11916 predicted gene 11916
GGGCUCUGAGGCAUGAACAUACCUGGUGGCAUUUGGUAAGCAACCCCUGCGGCUGGGGAGCCCUUUCCAGCUCUGUUGCAGUUUCUUUCACCCACACCUCAGCAUUCUUCAGAAAUAGUGUAACCUGAUAGCAAUGCCUUCCACUGUACUUCUGCUAUAUCUGGCUUCUCAAGUGCGCCCUUAAAGUGCAAAAAAGGUUAAUGUAUUGUAGACAGAAAACCUUCAAUAGAUCGCUGCUCUGCUUUGCGUUAAAAUCAUCUCCCUGGGAGUUACCUGCUUCUGUCAUGUGCAGGCCCUGUUGUUCUAUCUGAUGCCCUACUAGAUUGGGUUGUGAUUCAUUAUGCAUUGCAUGGAUCUGGAGAUGCCUAAAAUAAUAUCAACUAUUGCAAUAGCAACAGUACCAGUUUAUGCUAGUUGUUAACAUAAAAUAGUUAAUGUUAAGUAGCCCAUUGUAAUUCCAUGACCAAUGUACAGCGAUUGAGCAAAUUUCUCAAAAGCAAGUGGUUUCUCAGACAAUGGAAAAGGAGUAAAAGGCAAGGCCAACAGUGUCUGCUGCCCUUUGCUUGCUUUUUCUCCCCUCCUCCUAUAUUUCUACUCCUAAGCUUUAAAUAGCUCUGCUUCCAAGGUCUAUUCAAAUGCUAACAAGUCAG